GCCUACGGGGGGCAGCAGUGGGGAAUAUUGCGCAAUGGGCGAAAGCCUGACGCAGCGACGCCGCGUGAGGGAUGGAGGUCUUCGGAUCGUAAACCUCUGUCAGCAGGGAAGAACGGUCACUGUGCUAAUCAGCAGUGAAUUGACGGUACCUGCAAAGGAAGCACCGGCUAACUCCGUGCCAGCAGCCGCGGUAAUACGGAGGGUGCGAGCGUUAAUCGGAAUUACUGGGCGUAAAGCGCUCGUAGGCGGUAUGUCAAGUCAAGGGUGAAAUCCCCGCGCUCAACGUGGGAACUGCCUCUGAAACU
rnacentral:rRNA from 1 species